rnacentral:rRNA from 1 species
AUGGAACCUAUGGUUGCCGGUACGCUACCUGAUGAUCUAGUGGUUGAAAUCCUCUCCUGGCUGCCAUUCAAGUCUUUUUGCCGCUUCAAAUGUGUUUGCAAGCCCUGGCUUGCCUUCUCAUCUAAUCCAAACUACCAUGAGAACCUGCCGAAAAUUCCAACCGGACUUUUCUGCCAAUACGAAGACCUUGAUAAGAAAUCUACAAAGGUUAUUGGCCAGCCCCGAAACGUGGAGCAAAUUGAUGGAGCACUUAGUUUCUUGCCACACUACCCACAACUGCAACAUAUGGAUUGCUGCAAUGGCCUAGUCCUCUGCAUGCGUAGGAGCAUGGAUUGGAGCAACCGCAAAAUUAUCUGCCACUUCAUUGUGUGCAACCCCGCAACACGAGAGUGGACGAAGUUACCUGAUACCCGUCCUUACCAAGAAAAUGGUACUUGUGAAGCUAUGUUGGUUUUCAACCCAUCAUGUUCCCCACGGUUCUAUGUCCUCAACUUUAAACGGGAUCCUUUAACUCCGUUCUUGAGCGGGCUCGAGGUGUUCUCAUCCAACCUUUCCACAUGGCUUUUGUAUGAUGCAUGGUGGAAUUCUAGGAUGCCCACCAUUAUUGGAUACCCACACUUAUUCAUAGAUGGUUCCCUCUAUCUAUUUAGUCUGUAG